AGGCGCGCAAAUUACCCACUCCCGGCACGGGGAGGUAGUGACGAAAAAUAACAAUACGGGACUCUUUUGAGACCCCGUAAUUGGAAUGAGUACACUCUAAAUCCUUUAACGAGGAUCUAUUGGAGGGCAAGUCUGGUGCCAGCAGCCGCGGUAAUUCCAGCUCCAAUAGCGUAUAUUAAAGUUGUUGCGGUUAAAAAGCUCGUAGUUGGAUCUCAGUUCCAGACGGGCGGUCCGCCUAACGGUGGUUACUGCCUGGCCUGAACAGCCAGCCGGUUUCCCUAGAUGAUCUUCACCGGUUGUCUUGGGUGACCGGCACGUUUACUUUGAAAAAAUUAGAGUGCUCAAAGCAGGCGUGUAGCCUGAAUAAUGGUGCAUGGAAUAAUGGAAUAGGACUUCGUUUCUAUUUUGUUGGUUUUCGGAACACGAGGUAAUGAUUAAGAGGGACAGACGGGGGCAUUCGUAUUGCGACGCUAGAGGUGAAAUUCUUGGACCGUCGCAAGACGAACUACUGCGAA
rnacentral:rRNA from 1 species